rnacentral:rRNA from 1 species
AUGCAGGUCUCCUCCUGCCAUGCCCUAGCAGGAAGCUUGUGUCGCCGCAAGAAGUUCAAAUGCCAUAGCAGCGGCCGGACAGAUUUGAUACAUGGUGCUCCCUCCCACAAAGUGGCUGUUGCUAGACGAGGAAUCAAACUCGACUCCGCUGCUACCAACCCCACCACUGUUGGAGAGGAGAGGAGGAAUGCAAGCAUGAUUGGGCUGGGAUACCCGAGCCAAGUGAGGGAAUUGGAAGCCUCAAAACUUAAAUAA